CUUUUAGACGAUCCCCAAAUAUAUUUUAUAUAUGAGAGAUUUAGAGUUGAACAAAUGUUAAAAAAAAGGUUCAAAUAAAUAAUAAGAAAUAUAUGGCUUCAAAUAUAUGAACAAAGUAAUAUCUUCAUAGCUAAUCUUCAAUUUGAACUUCAAGUUUGAAACCUGUCAAAACAAUCAAUUGGCAACACAAGUAAUCACAUUUAUUUAGACAAGAUGAGACACAUAUGCAAUUGUUUAACAACAAGUUAUACAUAUAGACGAAUAGAACAAUAACUUUCGUAAAUGUAUGAAUGCAAAAGGAAUAUUAACCGGUUGAGAAGAAAGGGAUGGUAGCAAUAAGAACGAGUUGACCCAACUUCUAUUCUAACAAAGUAAAGUAGCCAAGUAGUAGCAAGGAGAACACCGGAAUGUUAAUUUGUUUAAGAGUAGCAGUAGUAUGAGCGGUAAGAGGAUGAGAGCUCUUGUGUUGAGAUAGAGUGAAUGAGAGGAGGGGGUCUCGUUUAUAUAGUAGAAGAGGAGAGCAUAAUAAGGAAAUAGAAUAAACUAGAGAGUCAAUUAAAUCACAAUUUCCUCUUUUUUCAAGGAGAGCCAAAAUAGGAAAAAAUUCUAAUUAUUUCAAUACAAAAAAUAAACUAGUAAAAGUUAGCAAAAAUAAUAAUAUUUCCCCUUAAAUAAAAGAGCCAAAAUCUGAUUUUAAAAUAUUAUCUUACCAAAUAUAAACAAAUACGAAUAAAUUAAGAGAGGACAACAUUAUUUUCCUUAAAUAAAAAAGAGCCAAAAUUGAAAUAAUUUUAUUUUUCCAUAUAUGAAAAUAAGUAAGAGAUCUGUCAAGUUUAAUUAAGGGAAGGGGGAUCAAUUAAUAUUAUUUUUCUUAUUUCAAAGGAGCCAAAAUUAGAAUUAUUAUUUUUCUAAAAAGCAAGUAAGAAUCUAUCUAAUUUUGAAGAAAAGAAAAAGGGAGCAAUUAACAUUCAAACAAUAUUCAAAACAAAACAAAUAAGAUAGAUAUCACAUAUUAUAUUUUAAUUUAACAGUCAAAUAAGCAAAACUGGAAAAAUAUAUGGGAUCCAUAAAUAGUCUUUAUUGACAGAUUUUAAAAUAAAGAUUUUAUUUCAUAGAGAAAAUAAUGACUAAAUACAAUAAAAGUGACUCAACAAUUAUCAAAAGAUUGGAAGAACGAAAUAUUGAUCAAAAUUACCAAUUUAAACCUAAUAUCCAAAUCAACCAUUAAGGGCAAGAUAAUUAACAAUUAGGAAGGAGUAUUUUUGUAGCUGCCACAAAUAAACAACAAUGUUCUUGGACGCUGUUGGUUGACGCCGGUGGAGCCUGCUGGCAUCGACUGUUGCUGUCCCUGCAAAAUAAGAAGAGAGAAAAAGAGUGAGCGAAGGAGAGUAGCAAAGAGGGCGUAGGCAAGACGGGGAGGAGAGAGGUGACGAGAGAAGAAAGAAAAGGGAGGGGCGGUUGGAGAGAGGGAAGAUGAGGGAGGCGGAGAGAGGGAAAAGGGGAGGAAGAAGAAUGAGUGUUUUGGAUCUUUCUAGGUUAAAAAGACUAAGUUAAAAGAUUUGAUCUCAACCGUUGAUUUGAUAAGAGAUGAAGGGUUAGAAUUCGAUCUAUGAUUUAAUUUAAAAGAUGGAUGAAUGAGAUUAAAAGAUGAAGCCUUAAAAUCAAAUGGAAAGGAUAUGACAUGG
rnacentral:lncRNA from 1 species